GCUGGCGGCAGGCUUAACACAUGCAAGUCGAACGCCCCGCAAGGGGAGUGGCAGACGGGUGAGUAACGCGUGGGAACAUACCCUUUCCUGCGGAAUAGCUCCGGGAAACUGGAAUUAAUACCGCAUACGCCCUACGGGGGAAAGAUUUAUCGGGGAAGGAUUGGCCCGCGUUGGAUUAGCUAGUUGGUGGGGUAAAGGCCUACCAAGGCGACGAUCCAUAGCUGGUCUGAGAGGAUGAUCAGCCACAUUGGGACUGAGACACGGCCCAAACUCCUACGGGAGGCAGCAGUGGGGAAUAUUGGACAAUGGGCGCAAGCCUGAUCCAGCCAUGCCGCGUGAGUGAUGAAGGCCUUAGGGUUGUAAAGCUCUUUCACCGAUGAAGAUAAUGACGGUAGUCGGAGAAGAAGCCCCGGCUAACUUCGUGCCAGCAGCCGCGGUAAUACGAAGGGGGCUAGCGUUGUUCGGAAUUACUGGGCGUAAAGCGCACGUAGGCGGAUAUUUAAGUCAGGGGUGAAAUCCCGCAGCUCAACUGCGGAACUGCCUUUGAUACUGGGUAUCUUGAGUAUGGAAGAGGUAAGUGGAAUUCCGAGUGUAGAGGUGAAAUUCGUAGAUAUUCGGAGGAACACCAGUGGCGAAGGCGGCUUACUGGUCCAUUACUGACGCUGAGGUGCGAAAGCGUGGG
rnacentral:rRNA from 1 species